CCGCUAAGUUGUGCGUUCCAGGGUGCACUCGCCGGCGAGGCUGCACGGCGCCGGUUUCAUUGCUAAAAUCCGACGGACUUGUUGCAGAACUCGUUUUUUUUGUCGGGAAAGGGCUUCCCCGUGUAACUUUACAGCAGUUAUCGUAGAUAAGACUUGCAAAUUACAGAUGUGGACGGUGAGGGAACGGGAAUUUCACUGAAAGCGCCUGAGAACCAGUAAGAGACCUGCAACAGCUUUGUGCUCCACUGGCGAAUGCUUCCUCCCCUAAUACACAUUAUGUGUGCUUGGAGACACAAGGAGUAAGAUACAGCCCCUCAAGGGACUCGUCAUAGGGAGAGGACACAGCUUUGGGAAUAAAGGGGCCACAAAGGAGGAGAGAGGAGUUUGCUGAAACUUCCCAAGCUCCCAUUCCAGCAGUUCCUGAAGGAUUCAUUUCUCUCUGAGGAUCUCAUGAGGUGGCUUAGCAGCUAGAAUCUCUUCCUUAACAGUGGGAAGAACAACUCCUGGAAAUUUAGGUCGACUUUGACUGGAUUUAAAAGAAAGCUGUACAAUUCCACUUCUGUAUAUACAACCAAAGGAAAUGAGAUGUGCAUACCCAUGUUCAAUGAAGCAUUAUUCACAAUAGCCAAAAUGUGGAACCAAUCCUUAAACAAAAGGAAAACAGAAAAUCUGCUCAAGGCACCUGAGAAAAUCACAACCCACACUUGCGAACCCCUAGGAGACCUAAAGCUGUGGUUUUACAAAUAAACAGAUAAGUAACAUUCCUACUCUUUCCUAUAGGUACUCAAUCUUCUUAACAACUCCCAUCCCACACAGGUUUGCAUCCCCAGCAGAUACAUAUGGCUAUGUGGUCACCCAUUCGAUCAGCCUAUAAAAGACUUGUCUUAUUUGAUAUUGUGAAACCCAUGGUUAUCAGUGUAUAUGAAAAUGUUUGGUUCAGGGGUCAAUGUACAAUAUGACAAGCAAAGUCCUCUAAUACACAGUUAUAUAAAAUCACUCACCUGAGAGCCAAGUGGACAAUUGGCCUUAUAUUGGCUGGAGUUGGAGCCCCAGAGGGAAAAUUUGCCUAUUAUUAGGCAACUCUUCAAAACUUUACUUAUUCGUUUCUAAACACUGUCUCAUAAAAUGGGGGAUGCUUUAGAUGAAUUAAGAUUAGCACUAGAUUACUUAUUCGUUGAAAAUUAGCACUAGAUUUCUUAUUGGUUGAACAAGGAGGAGUGUGCACCAUAAUCAAUAUAACCUGCUGCAGUUAUGUAAACACCUCAGGUCACAUAGAAGAAGAUAUACAGAAAAUACAUGAACAAGCUGUGUGGUUGCGUAAAUAUAACCAAGGCACCAAUCCCAACUGUAUCUGGUCAGCCAUUAGAAGCACCCUCCUGAGUCUCACUUGGUUGUUGCCCUUCCUAGGAACUUUGAUAGUUGUCUUAUUAUUAAUCUUUGGCCCUUGCUUGUUUAAAUUCUUGGUAAAGUUUGUGUUUUUUAGAUUACAACAAUUCCACAUAAAGAUGAUACUGACACAAAGCUUCCAAUCCAUCCCGUCUUCUGAACCGGGAAAUAAAGACACCCUGCCUUUAGGUGUCUUUAGAUCUAGAUCAGGCAUCUAGAGAUUUUUACUCCUCCAAUACUUGGCAGGGUCUAUGCCCGUAGACUCAUCAGGAUACCAUGUAAAUGAGGACCUCCCUUGGUACCCCAGAGGCCAACUGUAGACCCUUAUGAGAAAAUCCUGUCCCCAAAAUGAACAUCCACUGUCAGCAGGAAGAAGUUACAGAAGACCAGCCUUUGCCCUUACGAUUAAGGGUCCUCUUGUAAGUAGAGAGGGGAAUGUUAGGAAAGCAGGAGCCUAGGUGAUCCAGAGUGACACCAUUUUAAAAUAAACUCCACCUGAAAACUAGCAAGGCAUCUGCACACAUCUGUUUAGCAAGUAUAUACUUCUGUAACUGGAAUAAAAAGCGUUAUUUUAGAAUAUGCCUAUAGUUUGUAAUAAUUAGCCGAGGGAAAAAAAGUUCACAUUGGUGUAGGAAAAGUGCCCUAAUGGUCAUGGGUAAUAAUGGGACCGUGGUUCUGGUCAGUGAUUUGAUGGAAGGGGUGUAGAUAAUAUAUUGUUGUAAAUAAUAAAAAUAAAAAAUUGUUGUAAGUAAUAAAAAUAAAAUAAUAUUGUUGUAAGUAAUAAAGUAGGAGAAAUAUUUGGUCUUUUGCUUUUGGGUUAGUGCAACAGUAGUACCAUUACUUGGAGGAGAAGUUAGAGAAGGACAAGAAUAGGCUUGAAUAAGAUGAGUGAGAAGAGAGAAAAAUUCCGUAAGUGGAGAUGGCCAGGGAACACCAGGGCAGCAGAAUCUAACUCUGAAUUUAAUGCUGUUGUCUGUUCAUAUUGCACUGCGCUGUAAUCUCCCUAUCUUUCCUAAACCAUUGGCAAAGUCUGCUAUCCACUGGGGCCUUGGGUCGGUGGUGCUUUGGGAAAUACCAGAAGAGGGAAAGUACGGCAAAUGUGCAGUGUCACAGAUGAUAGGAGGAAAGCUGGCCAGUGGGAUGAUUAAAACAAUUUCGGUGGGAGUGGGAAUUCAGACCAUGUAAAUGGUCUGAAUUAAGAAAAUUUCAAGAAACAAAAAAUGUUUCUAAUGAGCCAAAGUGAAAGCUCUUCAUGAUUUCUUUAUAGAGGCUCUCUAGUGCUUGUCCUAAUUUCCUGAAAUCUCAUGGGUAUCUUACUCUCCUGGUGCCCGCCUCAAACAUUCACUGUAGCAAUUAUAUGAGCAGCCUAGAGAAUCCCAAUCCCAGUGGUCUUGCUCCCUGGAUCUACUUUCUCUUAAAAAUCAUUCCCCUAAGUUUCCGUCACUUGGUUGAAGUUUAGUAGAUAUCUCCACAUCUCCAGCUAGAACAGCACCAGAAUUUCAGGACUAGGGCAAUAGAGUCUGAUAUUAAAUUCUAUUUCUAUCUAUCUAUCUAUCAUCUAUCUAUCUAUCUAUCUAUCUAUCUAUCUAUCUAUCUAUCUAUCUACAGAACAAUUUGUGGGAUAGUAGCUUUGGGGUCCCAGAUCUAGGAUGGGCCUGGUCCUCCAUGCUGGUUCUCCUGGGUGAUAUUUCUGUUAGUUUGAACAGUAAUCACACUUUUAUUACUGUUUCAUCUUUUUUUUUUCACUCUUAGACUGAUUUUAUCAUGUGUAUAAAACAUACACACACCUACAUCUCAAGGAUAAACAUUAAUCCUUGAAAAAUAUGUGGUCUAAAACUAUAUUGAGGAGAGAAAGAUAGGACACUUUAAUUGCCACAUGAUUAACACGAGGUCACCACACAGCUUUCACAAAUCUACAAGUCAUUCUAUUUAGGCUGAGUCAAGUUCUCCCUUGGGCCAGCCAGAGCACAAAUAAUGGAGCAAUGUGACUCUUCAAUGACAGAUCUCUGAUUUCCAGAAAAGAGACUUUGAAAUACCCAAUUCUAGUAAAUAUGCAAUUAAAUUUCCAGCUAAAUGACCUUUGCUCCUGUAGUCUUCAUCUUGGGGAAGGGAAAGAAGUCUUAUUCUGUUUAAUAGUUUGAUUUUUAUAAUAGGGUUUGUCUCUGUUAUAAAUCUUGUUUGAUAUUUAAAAUGUUAGCUAAGAGAAAACUUCUGUUUGUUUUUAUUUAGUGGGAAGAAACUAACCCUCAUUGAGUGCCUAGUUAACAUCAGGCACUUUGUACACAUAAUCAAUUGAAUCUUGACCACAACCCUGUGAGGUGAAAAAUGAGAAGAUUAAAUAAGCCAUGGGAAGAUUUUUUAAAAUGACAUGAAACUCCAAGGGUAAAAAGUAGGCUGGGAAAUCUUAGGAUGGUGAACCAUCAUGUUUCCUGAAUGUGAAUCCUGUACCUGGUUUGACUGUAGUCACCCCUUCUCCAACACUCUCCACGAUGCCGGCUGCCUCAUGGCCUAAAAUCACAGGAAGUGGGGUCACCAUGGUACCACUAACCACGUGGUCAUCUGUGCCACAGAUUCCUACAGCCACCAUCUACAGAGUGAAGAGAAGAUGUUUAUAAAAGAUUGUGAGUCUCAGGAUGUUCAACAUGAUCAAUGCCAAAUAAAUAUCAGAAUACUUGGAAGUAAAGUACUAAUAGUAGGAGUUCCUGAUUAUCAGGUGCCUAUGAUGUGACAGGCACAUUGUGGCCUGUGCUCGACCAGGAGACUGGUGAGUCCUUGUGGAUUUCUUCCCUGCUCAAGUGCAUAAAGCAGGUGUAUUGCAUAGCUUUUCCAGGCUGAGAUCAAAGACGGAGAUGUGCCUACCCGCAGAUCCUAGAUGGCCAUGUUUGCAACAGAGGUAAUGAUGAGCAGUGCGAAGAUGUGACUCCAAAGCCUGGAGAAGGACAGACCAGCAUCCCUGCAAGAGAUCCAACUGUCUUCUUUUCCGCAGAGGUCCAUAAUUUACAUGGGCCUGACAAAGAAUACUGUAACUUGCAGAAAUUAUCUUCAGUUCAAAUCCUUCAUUUUGGGGGUUAAAUAACUUGCCCAAGAUGUCGAGGGAGCGGAAAUACUUGCUGGUCUUGCAGCGGCUGUGGAGCCUGGAAUCCUGCCAAGAAGAGCAUGUGUGAGAGAUCAAAAUGUUUGCUUACAUUCCUCCUGUGAAGGGAGUUGGGAAAUAACCUAAGAAGCCCAAUCCAAAAACAAAGAUGUACCAUCCAGUCUUCUCUGUGAGAACCAAACUACAAACCAUCUGAAUGUUCCAAAAGUGUUUUGAUGAUGUAUUGAUGUAUUUUAAAUUAUCCUGAAAAUGUUCUUGGCAGAUGCUUAAACAUGUAAUUACUGAGAUGAUGUAGAAAUACCAAGUGUUUAUUAAAACAAUACAGAGUAAUACAAAUGGUAUGUUUGUCGCAAUAUAAAAGUAUCUAAAAAUUAAAGAGUUCUUUAAUGGU
rnacentral:lncRNA from 1 species